rnacentral:rRNA from 1 species
UACGUAGGGAGCAAGCGUUGUCCGGAAUCAUUGGGCGUAAAGAGCGUGUAGGCGGCUAGGUAGGUGGGUUGUGAAAACUGGAGGCUCAACCUUCAGACGUCGACCCAAACCCCCUGGCUAGAGUCCGGAAGAGGAGAGUGGAAUUCCUGGUGUAGCGGUGGAAUGCGCAGAUAUCAGGAGGAGCACCAAUAGCGAAGGCAGCUCGCUGGGACGUUACUGACACUGAGGCGCGAAAGCGUGGGGAGCGAACAGG